AGCAUGGUGUAGUGGUCUGAGCAUCAGGCUAUGACCCUGGAGACCAGGGUUGAAUUCCCUGUUCAGCCA